rnacentral:rRNA from 1 species
CCUACGGGAGGCAGCAGUGGGGAAUUUUGGACAAUGGGGGCAACCCUGAUCCAGCCAUGCCGCGUGUCUGAAGAAGGCCUUCGGGUUGUAAAGGACUUUUGUCCGGGAAGAAAAGCGCGAUGUUAAUACCAUUGCGUGCUGACGGUACCGGAAGAAUAAGCACCGGCUAACUACGUGCCAGCAGCCGCGGUAAUACGUAGGGUGCGAGCGUUAAUCGGAAUUACUGGGCGUAAAGCGGGCGCAGACGGUUACUUAAGCAGGAUGUGAAAUCCCCGGGCUCAACCUGGGAAUUGCGUUCUGAACUGGGUGGCUAGAGUGUGUCAGAGGGGGGUAGAAUUCCACGUGUAGCAGUGAAAUGCGUAGAGAUGUGGAGGAAUACCGAUGGCGAAGGCAGCCCCCUGGGAUGGCACUGACGUUCAUGCCCGAAAGCGUGGGUAGCAAACAGGAUUAGAUACCCUGGUAGUCCACGCCCUAAACGAUGUCGAUUAGCUGUUGGGCAACUUGAUUGCUUGGUAGCGAAGCUAACGCGUGAAAUCGACCGCCUGGGGAGUACGGUCGCAAGAUUAAAACUCAAAGGAAUUGACGG